GUAAUUCUCCAUCCGUGUCAGUGUGCCUGUUGUAAGUGGGGAAUCCCCACAGUCAGCAGUGAAGGUGCUUAUGGAAGACCUUGUAAUAACAAGGAUGGACACCCCAAGAGUCAACUGAGAAAGGUGGAGAUGAGGGGCAGACACACACGCAGGACACAAAUCUCCUGUUAUCUUCAAUGCUUUUUAAAGGUCGGUUCAUAUUCCAAGAUGGCUGCCAGAGAUCCAUCCAUCAGAUCCACAUUCCAAGUCAAUAGCAAGAGAAAGGAGAAAAGAAAAAGGAUAUGUGUGCCUUUUACAGAACCUUUUCCAGAAGGCCCACACUAACUUAUAUUUCAUUGGGCAUCAUCUUAUCAUAUGGCCACAUCUGGCUGCAGAGAAGGCUGGGAAUAUCAUUUUUUAGCUGGCUGUAGUGUCUCGAAGUCAGUUACAAAGAAAGAAGGGGAGGAUAGAUAUAAACAAAAUUAUACUGAGCAAAACAAGCCAGGACACAAGAAGAGUGUAUACUGUAUGGUUCCAUUUAUAUGAAACUCUAGGAAAGGCAAAUCUAAUUUAUAGCAGCAGCAAGCAUUGCUGAUCGUGGGUCAGAAUUUACAGGGUAUGCAGCAAGGAAGGUUUUAGAGAUAAUGGAAAUGUUCUGUGUCCUGAUUAUGAUGAUGCUUAUACAGGAGUACAGCUUGGUCUUCCAAUGUGUACAAGUGUUGUCUUCCAAACAUACACUUCCAAGGGAUGCCAUUUCAUUUGAACUAUAUAUUAUACCUCAGUAAAGUUGAGUUUUAUAAUUAUGAAAAACCUCAACACUAUAACAAAAUUACUCUUAAAGUUUUUCACUUUCCUUCUCUUUUAUUUGCAUAUCUUGACACAGCUGAGAGUACAAUGCUUAUACUCACUUGGAUUCCUGCAUUCUUCACUUUACAUCAUAAGAUUUUUCCAUGUUGCUUCGUUGAUCUUCAUAAUCAUAACUUGAAAUGACUGUAUGAUCCUUUGGGAGUCUGAAAUGUAACAUGUACACAUACAGUUAAAACAAUUCACAAGCACCAAAGAACACACAAUAGAAUGGAGUCUCCCCCUGCAACUCUGUAAGACCCUUACUUAGAAGCAGUGGAUUCCAGUUUCUAGCACAUAGAACCAGAAACAUCCUGUGCACAUAAAGACACAAGUGUGAAGACCUCCUCUCCUGUGAGAUGUCUUGGAGGCAAUCCUGAGUACUCACUUGCUCACAUGAUACAUCUUGGACACCUGCUCAUGUUCUUUAUACGGUCUGAAUGUUCUCUCAUUUACUGAACCAAUAUUGUUAAACACAUAGUGUUUCCCCAGUUUCUUUUUUCCUAUUAAUCAUGCCGUAGAUGUCAUGUUACUGGUUUGACUCAGCUACCAAGUUUAAAAUAAAUGCUACGUUCCAAAGGAGCUGCUAGGCUAUCUACAGCAUUUACCAGGCAAGAUGCUUAAAGCCAGCUGUGCUGGUGCACACCUGCAGUCCCAGGUGCUUGGAGGACUGACAUGGAAGCGGCUCAAAUUCAAGGGCAGCCUGGGCAAUUUGGUGAGAUCCUGUCUCAAAUUAAAAGGUCUGGAGCGUAGCUCAGGUGUAGAGGGCUUGCCCAGCAUGUCCUAGUCGCUGGGUUUAAUCUUUGGUACUGGAAAAAAAAGGGGUGGGGGAGAAAAAGAAGAAGCUUAAAGCUUGUUACGGGACUGUGGGAACUCAGUGACGCUAAUGAGGGUAUAAAGGCUGGGCGCAGAGGAGACCGAGGGAGUAGUGAGGGCUUUCGCUUUCCCCCAGCCUCAAGAAAGAGGAAUUCAGGGUCACUCCGGACGCGCCCUCCUUGCUCCUCCCAAUCCCAGGCCAGCGGCCCAGGUCCCGGGGCCUCACCAGCCCACGCCCGUCCUCGCAGCCCCAGGCUGUGCCUCAUUCUGGCUCCAGGAGAGCAGCGUUCAUGCAGCCACAGUGUGGAAACCGGAGCGUCUACCCACGGCCCGUCUGUUACCAGGUAGGGGGUCCCGCGGGAUUCCCUCCGGAUCCUCGGUGUCCUGAACACAGAAGUGAACGAGACAAGACACACGGAAAAGGCGGCGCAAGCGUACAUUUAGUGAAGGCCGAAAAGAUCACGCUCUGCGGAGUAAGCCGGCGCGUGAGAAGGCGCACAGCGCCCAGGCAAGCGGACAGGGGUUCUUUUGUAUCCACAGUUCCGGAGUUGGCUUCUGCCAGUGCAAAGAAGGCACCAGGACAGUUGUCAAAAACCCACUUGGCCCGGAACCAGGUGUAGACUGCGCUAGGCAAAAACUCACGAGACUUCCUGCCAGACAGCAACAGGACUGAAAAACAGCACUUUUCUGAUUGGUCCUACGAACCGCACCUAGUUCCCAGGAAGGACUGAAAAUACCGCCUUCUGAUUGGGUCUAUGGAUAGCGCUCGGGAGCCCUGGGGUCCUCCUGGGCCCUGUGUCCUGUGCAUGUCGCUGGAUUUUAUGACCCUCGACUCCUCCUCCUCCCGUAGUGGCCGCUUCGCCCAGCCCUGAUCUUCCGUUGCGCACCUCACAGAGAACUCCGUUCGGCGCGCUUGCCAUUGGAGCAGGACAUGAGGAGAGCAUGAAGCAGAAGCAGAGGAAGAGCCUAGGGAGCCCCAGGAAGGGAUUUCCUUGCGAAUGGGGUUCAGGGCACGAGGGCGAGGGGUGGGGGUUGAGUGGCUAGAGAGGCGCUUCGUCCUGGGGACAGCAGAAGGAACCGCAGAGCCUGUCCCUCCUCGUACACCGAGCCCAGCGAUCCCUACGGGGCUCAGCGAGAUCAUGAAGGUGGAACGAAUUAGAAAAGCGCCCUGCUCUAAGGAAUUCUCACUGAUCAGGGGAUGAAAGGGAGAUGCCCUUCCACCACGGCGAAAGCCUGCCCGAGCUCCCCAUCCUCCAGCCUCGGCUUCUCCUUGGAUCCUGCAUGGCCUGAAUGGCAGAACAGAGCCCAAGAAGCAGCUCCGGAGUCCUCUUUCCUGAGCGUCUUUUGUUGCUAUGUCGUGGCUGCCUCAAUAUCCUGAAUCAGUUCAAAACAUUUGCCUUCAUGGUCACUUUGACUCUGGGGAAGAAACAGAAGUCGCACGGUGCCGGAUCCUGAGAAUAAGGUGGAUGAGGACACCGUGUAAGGUUUUUCCGAGCCUGUCUUUCCGUGGAAUGGCACUGGGAAGCAGCCUGCAGCAUAUUUUUGCUCACACCUUGUGAAGACGAAAAAGAGGACUUCCAGAUCCACUUCAGAAAGUGCUAAGAAUGAAGUGAUAAGUGUGUUCGAGGCAAGGAGGAGCAUUUUGAGGG
rnacentral:lncRNA from 1 species